rnacentral:rRNA from 1 species
AACGAACGCUGGCGGCAUGCCUAACACAUGCAAGUCGAACGAAGGCUUCGGCCUUAGUGGCGCACGGGUGCGUAACGCGUGGGAACCUGCCCCUCGGUUCGGAAUAACAGUUAGAAAUGACUGCUAAUACCGGAUGAUGACUUCGGUCCAAAGAUUUAUCGCCGAGGGAUGGGCCCGCGUAGGAUUAGCUAGUUGGCGAGGUAACGGCUCACCAAGGCGAAGACGGGUAGCUGGUCUGAGAGGAUGAUCAGCCACACUGGAACUGAGACACGGUCCAGACUCCUACGGGAGGCAGCAGUGGGGAAUAUUGCGCAAUGGGCGAAAGCCUGACGCAGCCACGCCGCGUGAGCGAUGAAGGCC